rnacentral:tRNA from 1 species
GCGCCAUUAGCUCAGUUGGUUAGAGCAGCUGACUCUUAAUCAGCGGGUCCGGGGUUCGAGUCCCUGAUGGCGCACGA